GAAAAGCGGCCCCAGAACUCGGGAGCCCCGCCCCUUUCGCGUUUUCCGGCGCGCGGGCGGACGUGACGCCAAGCUGGGGCGACGCCUGUCAGUCAGGGCUGCCGGUUCCUGCUCAGAAGCCGCUAGCGGACCGGGAGCGGCGGUCGCUGGGCGAGGCUUCGGUGGAGUCCCGCCCGUUCCCUAGCCCGACGAGUGGACACGAUGCGGUUGGGCUCCGGGGCCUUCGCUGCCAGCUGCGUAGCGAUUGAAGUGCUUGGGGUCGCGAUCUUCCUGCGGGGAUUCUUCCCGGCUCCCGUUCGCUCCUCUUCCAGGACCGAGCACCGAGCAGAGCCCCCGGCGCCCGAGCCUGCUGCUGGAGCCCGUUCCAACUGGACCAAGCUACCACCUCCUCUCUUCAAUAAAGUUGUCAUUGUGCUGAUAGACGCCUUGAGAGAUGAUUUUGUGUUUGGGUCAAAGGGUGUGAAGUAUAUGCCCUACACAAGUUAUCUUGUGGAAAAAGGAGCAUCUCACAGUUUUGUGGCUGAAGCAAAGCCACCCACAGUGACUAUGCCUCGAAUCAAGGCAUUGAUGACAGGGAGCCUCCCUGGCUUUGUAGAUGUCAUCAGGAACCUCAAUUCUCCUGCACUACUGGAAGACAGUGUGAUCAGACAAGCAAAAGCAGCUGGGAAGAGAGUGAUCUUUUAUGGAGAUGAAACAUGGGUUAAGUUAUUUCCAAAGCAUUUUGUGGAAUAUGAUGGAACAACCUCAUUUUUUGUGUCAGAUUAUACAGAGGUAGAUGAUAACGUCACAAGGCAUUUGGAUACAGUAUUAAAAAGAGGAGAUUGGGACAUGCUAAUCCUCCACUACCUGGGCCUGGACCACAUUGGCCACAUUUCUGGGCCCAACAGCCCCCUGAUUGGGCGCAAGCUUAGUGAAAUGGACAGCAUCCUGAUGAAGAUUCACACCUCACUGCUGUCCAAGGAGAGAGAGACUCUCUCACCCAGUUUGCUGGUUCUUUGUGGGGACCACGGCAUGUCGGAGACGGGGAGUCAUGGGGCCUCUUCCACAGAGGAAGUAAGCACACCUCUGAUCCUAAUCAGCUCUUCAUUUGAAAGGAGACCCGGGGACAUCCGACACCCAAAGCGUGUCCAGCAGACUGAUUUGGCUGCAACACUGGCAAUUGGACUUGGUUUGCCAAUUCCUAAAGACAGUGUGGGGAGUCUCUUAUUCCCAGUUGUAGAAGGGAAACCAGUGAGGGAUCAACUGAGAUUCUUACACCUGAACACAGUGCAGCUCAGCAAGUUGCUGCAGGAGAACAUGCCAUCUUAUGAGAAAGAUCCCGGAUUUGAACAGUUUAAGAUGGCCGAAAGGUUGCAUGGGAACUGGGUCAAACUACACUUGGAGGAAAACCGUUCAGACGUCCUGCUCAGCCUUGGAACCAAGGUGCUCAGGCAGUACCUGGGUGCACUGAAGACCCUGAGUCUGUCUCUGAGCACACAAGUGGCCCAGUACGAUAUCUACUCGAUGGCAGUGGGGACUGUCGUGGUUUUGGAGGUUCUCACCCUGCUCCUCCUCAGCACCCCACAGGCGCUGCGCAGAGGGGCUGACCUGGAAGUUCCUCUGUGGUCUCCUGUGUUUUCCCUGCUCUUUUAUUUGGUAUUCCUCGUUCUUUCGGCCAUUCACGUCAUAGUGUGCACCUCAGCCACAAGUUCCUGCUACCUCUGUAGCCUCCCGUGGCUGGUGGCAGGAGGGCUGAUGGUUCUGGUUUCCGCACUGCUCUGUGCAAUUGUCUCCACUCUCACCCGGACUGUCAUCGAGAGCACUCUCCUGAGGAAGAAUGCAGCUCUCCCCAGCUCCAGGUGGUCAGAGAUGGACCUUCUCCUGAUGCUGGGCACAGCAGGCCACGUCCUGAGCCUGGGUGCCAGCAGCUUUGUGGAAGAGGAGCAUCAGACCUGGUACUUCCUGGUCAAUACCCUGUGUCUGGCUCUGAGCCAAGAAGCCUGCCGUAGCUGCUUUCCAGGAGAUGACAGCAAGCCUCAGCACAGUGUCCACAUGCUGCAGGACAGUGCAGUCUACAGAGCCCCCAUACUCCACAGAGCAGGCCACACCUCCCCCUCCUCAGAAGCACUUGGGGGCCACGCACGGUGGGCUAUCCUGGCAAGCCCCUGGCUGGUGCUGGCCUGUUGCCGACUGCUGCGGUCCCUGAACCAGACGGGAGUGCAGGGAGCCCACAGGCCUGACCUCGGCCUCUGGCUCACCAGCUCUGACCAUAAGGUGGAGCUCUCUGGUCUGGCCGCUCUGUCCCUGCUGGUGAUCUUCUUGUUGGUUCAGAGAGGGUGCUCCCUAGUGUCCAGAGCAGCUUUGGCACUGGGGCUGCUGGGUGUUUUCUGCUACAGGGCAGCCAUUGGGAAUGUGCUGUUUCCAUGGCAACCAGGGGACAAAGGCUUUUCAAAGGGUAUUAUUGAAGCUCGUUUUGUUUAUGUCUUUGUCCUUGGCAUUCUGUUCACGGGCACCAAAGACUUGCUUAAAUCCCAAGUCAUUGCUGCAGACUUCAAAAUCAAGACUGUAGGUUUGUGGGAGAUAUAUAGUGGAUUAGUUCUUCUGGCAGCAUUGCUCUUGAGACCACAUAAUCUUCCGGUAUUAGCCUUUAGUCUCUUGAUUCAGACUGUAAUGACUAAAUUCAUCUGGAAGCCUCUGAGACACGAUGCAGCUGAGAUUACUGUAAUGCAUUAUUGGUUCGGUCAAGCAUUCUUCUAUUUUCAGGGAAACUCCAACAACAUUGCCACCAUUGACAUCUCAGCAGGCUUCGUGGGCUUAGAUACCUAUAUGGAAAUUCCAGCCACAUUCCUGACAGUGUUUGGGACAUAUGUGGGGCCUGUGCUGUGGGCCAGCCACUUGGCACACUUCCUGAGCUCAGAAGCAAGCAGGAAAAGCCUGCCUUGGUUCCGGACCUGAUCACUGUUACCGCUGUUUACCGGUGAUGAGUCUUUGCUUCCCGAAUGCCAAAGUAUAACACCAAGAAGCACGCCGAGGCAAGCCAAGAGUGGAAAGUGGAAGGCUUUAUUAAAGGACAGCAGAAAAGACUUCUCCCCGCAGGAAGAAGGACCCGAAAGGCUGAAUCCUUGGAAGGUCAUCCAUUCCACACCAGGAAAAGCCUGCCUUGGUUCUGGACCUGAUCACCAUGGUCUAAGUGACUGUGCAUCUGCUGGACAUAAAGCCUAAGGCUUAAGACUUUUGAACUUAGCAUGCAGAGGAAAUGUCUGUCAUUAACCUGUCAUGAUUAAAUGUGUUUUGCAGUGCUUAGAAUUAAUCUAGAAUUGUUUGCUGUGAAUUGAUUAUUAAUCUAUUGCAGUGCCUAGCAUUAAGGAUUGUGGUUUUCUUGAUUAAGAACCUAUAGAGUGAAAUUGUAUGGAGUAAUUUGAGUGAAUAAAGCAUUAAAAGGGGCAGAAGCGUGUG